AGACGCAAGAAUGCGCGGCCGCAGGCUGGAGCCCUAGCUCCGCAACCCUGCUCCUUUCGCAGUCCGCGGCGGAGUGAGCAACUUGCUGGGUGCGCUCCACGGUUUUUGUUGCCGGCGGCUCUCGAAGACUUACACAGGCUUUGCCUGGCCGUAAAUAUCAAAGUGCAAAGCAGUUGUGGUUUUUUAUUUUUGCCAGGGAAGGAUCACUGCAGCCUUUUAAGGCAAAGAGAUGCGUUUUUAAAAGGACGUGAGUUUUGUCCUUAUUCUGCUGCGUUUUUUUUUUGUUUUUUGUUUUUUGUUUUUUGUUUUGUUUUUGGAGAGGGAAUCUCACUCUGUCGCCAGGCUGGAGUGCAGUGCAGUGGUGUGAUCAUGGCUCACUGCAACCUCCGCCUCCCGGGUUCAAGCGAUUCUCCUGCCUCAGCCUCCUGAAUAGCUGGGACUACAGGCUCCCACCACCACGCCCAGCUAAUUUUUGUAUUUUUAGUAGAGACAGGGCCAGGAUGGUCUGGAUCUCUUGACCUAAUGGUCCGCCCGCCUCAGCCGCCCAAAGUGCCGAGAGCCACCGCGCCGGGCCUCUGUUGCGUGUUUUCUAAAACAGGUCAAGAUAAACGACAAUCUUGUUGCACAAGUGUAUCCUUUUAAUGGGUAUUGUUUCCUAUUGAGUUUCCUUAAUGCCCUGAAAGCAGUAAUUCUGUUGACCCCUCCACGUUGACUCAUAUCCAGUACGUUGUCCCCAACCAUACUCCCAAACAUAAUUACACGAAGAAAUUAUUUGACAAUUCUAUGUGGAGAGGCUGUUCUGAGUUAUGCCAACAGAUUGCCAUAACCACACAUCUACAGAAAUACAUCAGAGGUAUUUUUCCAGCAUUACUUUCAGGUACACUCGUUAAACUCUGGAACUGACUUUGAUGUUUAAGUGAAAAUUACUUCUCCGGACCACAAUAAACUAGAUGUUUAAACAUCGGGAGAAAUGAGCUUUGAUCCCCAUAAAACAAGCAGGCACUUGCUUAAAAUCACUGUGGGGCACAGCCCAGCAGAUGUCACUCUACAGAAGGAACGUGGAGUGUAAUAUCUCCACCUUAUACCUGACAAUUCACAUAAUGAAACAAUCAUUAAAUUCUUAUAAACUGUAUCAUAGAAAACCCCUCUGGGGGUGCAAAAUCAUUGUUCAGUGGGAAAGUUGAAUGAAAUCUCAGGUAGGAGGAAGAGGUGAGUGAGACACAUCUUUCAUGUGUCUGGGGCCCACCUCUUGUGUUCAGUAAACAUACACGUGUCUCAGACUCACGCUGCAUAGUCAAGGAACGAAGGAUCAAGUCAAAUAAUGCAAAUUUAUGAGUUCAAAAAUACUAUUCCAGGGCUAAUAUUAUCUCCAAACGUCAAAAAAUUAAUAUAGUAACAACAGUUAAAAUUAUUUUUUGUGAUGAUGCGUGAGAAGAUCCUUGACAUAAAUUUGUAAUAAGGAAUUUAACC
rnacentral:lncRNA from 10 species